AAAAAAAGGCACAUGGUGAAAGUGCAGUGGGAGCUAGUAGCAUAUCUUGGCUGAAGUUCAAAGAAAUGGCCUUUGAUCAAAGCCCAUUGUAAAUGCACACCCACGUCGUGGAUCUGAAAUCAGCUCCUCCAGUGAGACCCACCCCUCCUUUCCAAUUAGUGCAACCCCCACAGAGCACCUCAGAGGAAAGACAGAACCUCCGUUAAAUGGCCUGAACCUGCUAACCCAUGAUGAUAACCCAUCACAAAGCCCUGCGCCCCUCCUGUAUACCCAUGUGUUGGAGUCUCCUCUGAGGAGGGCAGGCUCCUCCUUCUCUCUCUUACCAACACUUAUGCUCAUGUGUCUCGCCCUGGAGAUGGAAUCGCAUCGCAGCAUCACUCUGCAUGGAACCCCCUGCCUGCCCCCGCUGAGGGAUAGAGGCACUCCACUGCCAUUUGCUAUAGUGUAAGUAUAGUAGUGCAACACCU